rnacentral:rRNA from 1 species
AUGGGACAAGGAGGAGGCGGACCGUGCCGAGCAAGGCCUACCGCCCUCUUCGAUAAAUACGUUGACAAGCAGACCAGGAACUUUGUCAGGGCCCGGUACAAGAAGGACCCGAAAACAAAGGAGCUUACCACGGAUCCGAAGACCAGGGAGCUUGAGCUUGUUCUGGCGACUGAAAGCAGUAGCGCGGGGUCGACUAAGAGCAACCCUUGGGACACCACUCUAAAUAGGGCGUUGAAUGUAAUGAAGAACAAGGAUAAGCUCAGUAAGCCGACGUCAGCUGGUCGUGUGGCCGGCAAAGGCUUGUCGACAAAAUGGUCGUCAUACUAUAACACUGGUGGGCGAAAGGAGAAAAAGACCAGCUCGGAAAGCCAGGCGCGCGAGGUUCAAGAACUCAGGGCACAGGUGGCGCGGAUUCCGAAGAUGGUCCAAGAGCAAGUGGAACAACAACUCGGAAGGACGAUCACCGCCAUUGUGCCUACCUUGAUCCAGGGGAUUAGUGCGUGGAUUGCGGGUGGCCAACAGGGGCCGCCCCCGAUUCCUAGCUUCACGGCCAGCAACUCGCAGAACGCGAUGGCGGGGCCAUUGGUGUCUCCGACGCCGGCACGGGAGCUUAAUGCACCCGGGUGUACGCCGGCCGGCACCUCUGCAGCAAGCGGCCCCUCCGUCAACUGCACGCCCGCCGUUGGCGGUGCCUCGACAUUAGCCGAGCUCGACGCCAUCAUCACGGGCGCCGCCGACGUUCCGUGCACUCUCCUGCACUUCGUGAACAACGAGUUGGUCGAUGUCGCCAAGGGCAAAAUCGUUCAACCGGGCAACCCCUUGUUCCACGGUACCCAGAUGCCACCCAACUUGUUUAGGGUUCAACUGGUUCGGGUGCUGCCAGGCUACGACGAGUUGUUACCUCCGAUUCGACCCGUCGGGGCCGACGAUGAUGACGUGAUGACCCUCAGCGCCUGCCUGAGCUGGCCCCUGCUUUGGCCGAAGAGCCAGAUUCGUUUGGGGGCGGGGGACACCACCCCAAAGACAACACCGCCAGUCGUGCCGGCGCCAAGUCGGCCCCAUGGCAAGACCGCCGCAACGGUGCCGGACAUCCCUAUGCCACUGGAUCCAAACAUGCAUAUGGCACAGGAUCAGAACGACGAUGACGACGAUACAUUUGCCAACGUCGAUCAGUACUUUGCCGAUCAUGGGUACGGUGGCGACUUCGUGGGGCCUCCUUCUCAAGAACCCAACCCAACAAAAGACGUGCGCGAUCUAGCUGGUACCGCGGAGAAGCCAAGUUGCAACAGGCGUCGUCUGCCGUUCAGCUCUCAGGAGACGCCUCCAGCUGCCGACUUCACCGAGCCUCAGAUAGGCGAGGUGCGAAAUAUUAUCAGCCCCAACACACUCAAGAAGGCGGUCUGUGAGCAGAACUCGGUCCCAUUACAGGAGAAGAAGAAGGCACGCAAAAGAAAGACUAACAAGGGUGCGGGCCAACCGGCACCGAGUACGAUCCGUGCUCAGGACGGGCCACCUUCACCUGAGGAUAUCUCGAGGAGGGUGCAUGUGGCGGGUAGGCCGAUGCUACCGAGAAAUAUGCUCGAUGCUGCAACCGGUGCUAUGCGGAGUCUGCAUGACAGUGUUCUUUCUUUGGAGAAGCGGCGUCUCAGAGAGAAGGAUGUGGCAUACCCGGUUUUCGCGGCCAAGGUGCCAGAGGGCAAGGGCUUUGUGGAUAACUCCAUCGGGGGUACGAUCGUCCUGCGGUUUGAUGACAUCCACGCUAUGUUGAACCUCCAUCCGCUGCACUACACCUUCGUUCGGCUAUUUUCGCUGAGUAUGGAGAUGCGGAUCAUUCGCGACAAGACCCCGGACAUCGUGAUAGUCGACCCCUUCUACAUGCGUGCCAAGAUCUUGGGCAGUGAUGGGGACCGGCAAGUCGCGAGUUCUUACCUCGAAGGCGUCAUUCUGGCAAACCAAGAUAAGGAUAAUUUCCUCAUGCCUUACUUUCCCGAUGACACACGUUGCACGCUCAUCCUCCUAAGCCCCAAAUAUUCCAUGGCCACAUAUUUCGACCCGGACCGUCAGUCGAACGUAGACUACACAAAUUUCAAGAAGGUUCUUGAUGAUGUUCUCCCCGGCUACGUCAAAUCUGGAGGCACCUUCACCAGGCCUAUUCGUAAGUACGGCAAGCACGUGUUCUCCCACAAUACGACGUUCUGCUGCGUCAAGCAGCCAACUGGCGGUCAGAAGGGUGCCUACUACGCCAUCCAUCACAUGCGGGCGAUCGUACGGGACCAUCAUCAACUUCUGCUACCGAGUAGACUCAAAGAUUGGGCUGCGAGCGUGUCGGCAAUCCAGGACGCGAACAUCAGACAAGAAUUCUUUCGCAUCCAGUCGGAGUUUGCGGAAAUCAUCCAUCAAGAUGUCCUUCGUACCUCGGGGCAGUUCAACCUUAGAAAUCAACCGUCCAACAGUGACAUCGACACAAUCCUACAAAUGCAGGCUGACAACGCCCGUUGUUUCAUGACUCCCACGAUAGACGGCGGCUUCAUCCACGCUCCGGUCCCUUGA